rnacentral:rRNA from 1 species
UUCUGGGCCUCAGUAUUUAGUUGCUCUUCAUCAAUCUUGUCUGAUCUCAAAAGCUAAGUAGAGUCACUUCUGGUUAAUACUUGAAUGGGGAACUGCCUGGAAAUAGAUGUGUUAGAGU